rnacentral:rRNA from 1 species
AGAGUUUGAUCAUGGCUCAGAACGUACGCUGGCGGCACGCCUAACACAUGCAAGUCGAACGAAGUAGCAAUACUUAGUGGCAGACGGGUGAGUAACAUGUAGGUAUCUGCCCUUUGGCCUGGAAUAACACGAGGAAACUUGUGCUAAUACUGGAUAAGUCUUUACGGAGAAAGCUUUAUGCACCAUUGGAUGAGCCUGCACUUGAUUAGUUUGUUGGUGGGGUAAUGGCCUACCAAGACUGUGAUCAAUAGCUGAUUUGAGAGGAUGAUCAGCCACAUUGGGACUGAGACACGGCCCAAACUCCUACGGGAGGCAGCAGUGGGGAAUCUUGCACAAUGGAGGAAACUCUGAUGCAGCGAUGCCGCGUGAGUGAAGAAGGCCUUUGGGUUGUAAAGCUCUUUCGUCGGGGAAGAAAAUGACUGUACCCGAAUAAGAAGGUCCGGCUAACUUCGUGCCAGCAGCCGCGGUAAUACGAAGGGACCUAGCGUAGUUCGGAAUUACUGGGCUUAAAGAGUUCGUAGGUGGUUGAAAAAGUUGGUGGUGAAAUCCCAGAGCUUAACUCUGGAACUGCCAUCAAAACUUUUCAGCUAGAGUAUGAUAGAGGAAAGCAGAAUUUCUAGUGUAGAGGUGAAAUUCGUAGAUAUUAGAAAGAAUACCAAUUGCGAAGGCAGCUUUCUGGAUCAUUACUGACACUGAGGAACGAAAGCAUGGGUAGCGAAGAGGAUUAGAUACCCUCGUAGUCCAUGCCGUAAACGAUGUGUGUUAGACGUUGGAAAUUUAUUUUCAGUGUCGCAGCGAAAGCGAUAAACACACCGCCUGGGGAGUACGACCGCAAGGUUAAAACUCAAAUGAAUUGACGGGGACCCGCACAAGUAGUGGAGCAUGUGGUUUAAUUCGAAGAUACGCGCAGAACCUUACCAACACUUGACAUGUUCGUCGCGACUUUAAGAGAUUAAAGUUUUCGGUUCGGCCGGACGAAACACAGGUGCUGCAUGGCUGUCGUCAGCUCGUGUCGUGAGAUGUUGGGUUAAGUCCCGCAACGAGCGCAACCCUCACUUUUAGUUGCCAUCAUUAAGUUGGGCACUCUGAAAGAACUGCCAGUGAUAAGCUGGAGGAAGGUGGGGAUGACGUCAAGUCCUCAUGGCCCUUACGUGUUGGGCUACACACGUGCUACAAUGGUAUCUACAACAGGAAGCAAAACUGCGAAGUUAAGCAAAUCCUUAAAAGAUACCUCAGUUCGGAUUGCACUCUGCAACUCGAGUGCAUGAAGCUGGAAUUACUAGUAAUCGUGGAUCAGCGUGCCACGGUGAAUGCGUUCCCGGGUCUUGUACACACCGCCCGUCACACCAUGGGAGUUGGUUCUACCUUAAGGCAAGGUUUAAAACCCUUGACCACGGUAUAGUCAGCGACUGGGGUGAAGUCGUAACAAGGUAGCCGUA